rnacentral:rRNA from 1 species
UACGUAGGUGGCAAGCGUUGUCCGGAUUUACUGGGCGUAAAGCGAACGCAGGCGGGCCUUUUAAGUAGGAAGUGAAAGGUUGGAGCUUAACUCUAACACUGCUCCCUAUACUGGAGGCCUUGAGUUUCGGAGAGGAAGACGGAACUGGCAGGUGUAGCGGUGAAAUGCGUUGAUAUCUGCAGGAACACCAAUGGCGAAAGCAGUCUUCUGGACGAAUACUGACGCUCAGGUUCGAAA